ensembl:lncRNA LINC02348 long intergenic non-protein coding RNA 2348
AGUGGCCCAUAGGCUUAGAAACAUGUAGAGUGUGUCCCAGGCAGGGGGCCAGCCUUAAAAAAUGCCAGCCCAUCUCCUCCAUCCACGAUGACAUCACCGGUACGGGCUUGUGUGUAGGUGACCUUUGGUGGCCUGAUCCUCCUGCCCUCUGCCUGGCUCCCUGGGCUCUGGUGGAACACAGCUGCCCUUCCUAAUUUGGUCUUAAUCAGGCUGAGCUAAGCCAGUCUGUAUUUGAGGAGUUGGAAGCAGGUGAUUCGGGCACAAAUUUGAAGGCUGAUAAACGGCAGCCGUCACCCGUGCACUCAGAGCGGCCAGAAGUCCUGCUCCUGGGGAAGGAGGAAGGGCGCAAGGGCAAUGAGCAUGUCGCCUUGCCCUCGGGGUGUGCGGUUUCUGCUCAGCCUCCUCUUGCAGCCUUGUUUCAAGUGUGGGAAUGGCCUCCUGACUCCCAAUCCGAAACAACUGCUGAGCACAGAAGGCAGAGCAGGGCCCUGAGAGUCAGAGGAAAAUGCUGCUGCGGGGACUGGGGAGCCCCAUCGGGUGACUCCCCAGAGAUGUGAGCAGGUGCAGAGGCUGGAACAACAGUGCUGCAGGAAAGUCUCUCCCGUGGAUGCUGUGGCCUGGGGCUUGGGUGACGACGUGCACGGCUGCCUCCUCGCUGUCACGUGCUCUGCUGGCUCGUCUCCAAGCUGUGCUGCUCAUGUUCCAAAGUCUCCCUGGAGGCUUUAGUGAAAAGCCCUUUCCCCGGUGACCUGGAGUGUCUUGCUAGAUGGAGCUGGCCAAGCCUGACGUCUUUUCCUGGCCGAUGCCUCAGUCCUUAUGCAAAGUGUGAACUUGGCCUUUACAUCCUUCUCCGCAGAGCACUGCAAGCAGCCAGUCCCACUGGAACAUAAGAUGAAGCUUUUGUUCCCAUGGCUGGAUACACUUUGGAUCUUGGAAUGCAAUAAUUACUUCAGCUGGAUCUGGUUCGUGGAGUACUUGGCCAGGGCUCUGCCUCAUGCCAUGGUCCUACAAGAUAUGUGAGGAGGUGGACAUCUUUGCGUAGCCCUCCUCCAGAGGCAAGUGGAUUCCUUCCAUAACCCAGAGAAGGCCGCUUGGGAAUGAGGCUGAGAAGCCAGACUUUUUGGCACACAAAGAAAAAGGGAGUUUUCAAAGUUGCCGCAAAUCAUGCAGGAAGAGAAAACAGGACAUUAGUGGACACUGAUUCUUCCCCUCUGCUGAACUCUGAGUCCAGUUUAAAUCUUUAAUAACAUAACACAUGGAGAAAAUUGCUUAUAUAAAAUGAUCACCUUUCUUUUAAAAAAAAAAAAUUAUAGAGACUGGGUCUUGCUCUAUUGCCCAUGCUGGAGUGCAGUGGCUUGAUCAUAGCUCACUGCAGCUUUGAACUGUUAGGCUCAUAUGAUCCCCAUGUCUCUGUCUCCUGAAUAGCUGGGACUACAGGUGGACACUACCAUGCCUAAUUUUUUAGUUUUUUUUUUUUUUGAGAUAGGAUCUUGCUAUGUUGCCCACGCUGGUCUUGAACUCCUGGUCUCAAGCAGUUAUUCUGCCUCAGCCUCCCAAAGUGCUGGGAUUACAGGCAUAAAACACCACACUCAGCCAGAAGAAAUUAUCAUCUUUCUAAAAUCAAACUUCUCUUAUAUUCUGGGAACCUACUGAGGAAGGCACAGAUUUAUCCUCUAGAUGCCAGAAGGCUAGAAUUGGGAAAGCUUCGAAGCUUAAACAGGGCAAAGCGUAGGUCAUAGAAGAAUGUAUUAUCUAUUGCUAUGCAACAAAUUACUCUAAAACUUUAAAAACACAAACAUUUAUUAUCUCUCAGUUUUUCUGGGUGAGAAUCUGGGUAUGGCUUUGCUUGCUGCUUCUGACUCAAGGUCUCUCACCUGUCAAGGCUGCAAUCAAAGUGUCGGCGGGGGCUGCAGUCUCAUCUGAAGGCUUGCCUGGGGAGAACACACUUCCAAGCUCACUGCCAUGGUGGAUGGAAAGCCUCAGGGGUACUGCAAUUGAGGGGAGAAAAUGGCCAACUUGAGCCAGGGUGCAAUGACAUCAAGAGGCCUGGGAGCUGAGGAGAAAAGACUAAGGAGCCUGAGGAAUGGAUGUGGGUCUGGAAGAGAGCUGGAAGAGUACAUGGUCCUGGGAGCCUCCUGGGGAAAGUGCUUUAAGUAGGAGGCAGAGACCAACUGGUUCCCAUGGUGCCAAUGAGUCAUGUGAGAUAAGGACUGAGAGUUGACAUUAGGAGUGGCAGUGGAGGGGCAUGUAGUGACUUUGACUAGAGCUAUUUCCAUGGGAUGAGGAGGGUGAGGGAAGCUGACUAGUGUGGGCUCAGUUUAUGCUGGAGGAGAGGACUGGGAGAAUAAUGCUCCUUCAUGUUCCUCAGUUAUGCUGUAAAGGGGAACGAGAAGCAGUAGCCGGAGAGGACUGGGGGAAGGGGCAUCUAGGUUUCAUCCAUGCAUCUGAUGGGAAUGAUCCUGCAAAGGGGAAAUGAACAAUGCAGGCGAGAGAAGCAAGCCCUGCUGGACACAUCCUUGAGUAGGCAGAAGCCAAUGUCUGGUGCAUAGGCAGAGGGCUGGCUUUAGGUGGGAAGGAUGGGUGGGAAGAUGAGCCGGCAUAGAAGGGGUAGAGGGGGCUUGCAGAAGCACUUUCUGAUGGUGUCUGUCUCUUCACUGAAAUGGGAAGCCAGGUUGUCAUUGUAGCCACCUCCCAGUGGGGCAAAGAGGAGGGAGUGAGAUGCCUCAUGAAAAGCAAUGCUUGGGGUCUGGUGUAGAGUAAUAACUCAGUAAAUCCAUUGUCUUCUUGCUUACCUCUAAGUUAUAGUGAUCACAUUUUCCAGACCAAAUAUCUGAACCUGGAAUCUGGCAGGUGCCUUAGGGGCCAAUGGGUGUGACUGAUUGAAAAAUCAGAAUGUCUCAGAAACACCUAGACUUUUAAUUUCCAAACAACAGACAUGAUAAGCAUCCAGGGCCUGUCAUGUAUAUUAUGGAACGUAAUGCCACUUUCUUUGGCCCUUUUCCAAAGCAGAUGAUAUCCCAGCACCAGGGAAAAUGGUUUCAAUAUCAAGUUGGGUCAGCAGCAUCUUUCUACCUAUUUCUGUCUUCGUGGUCUUUAUAUUUGAAAUAAUCAUUACUAUUUUAUGCAUUCUCUCCCCAUCCUGCAUUACAGAAGGAACGUUCCUAACAAAUGUUUUAUGUUUCAACUGCUAGGAGAUUGUAUUUUUGAAAUAAAAUUUUAGUUAUCCUUUCAUUUUUUGAUCCUGUAGAUACAUACAAAUUUAGAAACUCUGAAAGAACACCUUAAUUUAUAUUCUGUGCCUAUGUGGGUGAGGGAAGAAGAGGCUGUUUGGUAUAUAUUAUAUUUUUAGGUUUUUAAAUCUCUCUUCUUUUUUGCAAAUGUGAUGGAAUGUAACAUUUACCAGAAACUGAGAAUUCCCGAGGCAGUAGCCACAGCAGCAACAGUAACUCUAAGCUGGAGAUGGUCUGCUCUGGUGCCAGAGAGGCCAACCCUUGACUCUACUCUCUCGUGAUCAAUCAGCUGGAAAAUCACCAAUCCAUGGUCCUCCCUUCCCAUAAGUCACAGUCUGAGUAUGGCGCCUGUGGCUGGAACCCUUACGCUCUCCUUUGGGGUGUCUGGGUACCACUCUGUCUGACCCAUGCUCCUGGGCAUUCUGGAAGUCGGGACUCUGCCUUCCUUACCUGUCUGUGCUUGGAACUCAGAGGAUCCUUGUUAUGUAGUAGGUGUAGUGGACAUUGGUCAGUAGGGAGGCCUAUCAUCUUUUUACAAGUGUUCUAGACGUUUUCCCAACCCCCCACUUUGUCAACCCUGCCUUUCACACUGACAUCUUUUCCCAGCCUGAUUUGGCACCUGCCCAUCAGACACCAUGUGAGUCUGUGGCUCAGAAUGGGGUCCGGGACGCACCACACAGGGUGGGCAUCCAUGUGGAGGAUGCAGGAACAGCAUGGUGGAGGCAGGGUGGCCUUGAGGGCAGUAAGGCCAGCUUUGCCAUUCUGUGGUUCGAGGCACAGCCCAGAGCUGAGUCCUUCAAUCCUCCCCGACAGAACUGUGAGAUUUCUCAAACUAAUCAAUA